rnacentral:pre_miRNA from 1 species
CUUAUACUUUCUUUGUUCCAAAAUUCUUCUCUUACAUUUGUGUAGAUAUGAAUGUAUGUAGUUACUUUUUAGUAUUUAGAUACAUUUUUUUAAACAAACCUAAGACACGAAUUUUUGGACGGAGGGAGUAUUUA